rnacentral:rRNA from 1 species
UGCGGGGGCGCGGCGAACGGCUGAGUAACACGUGGCUAACCUACCCUCGGGACGGGGAUAACCCCGGGAAACUGGGGCUAAUCCCCGAUAGGCGAGGGGGCCUGGAACGGUCCCUCGCCGAAAGGGUGUACGGGGCAUCCUCCCGUACGCCGCCCGAGGAUGGGGCUGCGGCCCAUCAGGUAGUUGGCGGGGUAACGGCCCGCCAAGCCGAUAACGGGUAGGGGCCGUGAGAGCGGGAGCCCCCAGAUGGGCACUGAGACAAGGGCCCAGGCCCUAUGGGGCGCACCAGGCGCGAAACCUCCGCAAUGCGGGAAACCGUGACGGGGUCACCCCGAGUGCCCCCUUAUGGGGGCUUUUCCCCGCUGUAAGAAGGCGGGGGAAUAAGCGGGGGGCAAGUCUGGUGUCANC